AAAUUGAAGAGUUUGAUCAUGGCUCAGAUUGAACGCUGGCGGCAGGCCUAACACAUGCAAGUCGAACGGUAACAGGAAGCAGCUUGCUGCUUCGCUGACGAGUGGCGGACGGGUGAGUAAUGUCUGGGAAACUGCCUGAUGGAGGGGGAUAACUACUGGAAACGGUGGCUAAUACCGCAUAACGUCGCAAGACCAAAGAGGGGGACCUUCGGGCCUCUUGCCAUCAGAUGUGCCCAGAUGGGAUUAGCUUGUUGGUGAGGUAACGGCUCACCAAGGCGACGAUCCCUAGCUGGUCUGAGAGGAUGACCAGCCACACUGGAACUGAGACACGGUCCAGACUCCUACGGGAGGCAGCAGUGGGGAAUAUUGCACAAUGGGCGCAAGCCUGAUGCAGCCAUGCCGCGUGUAUGAAGAAGGCCUUCGGGUUGUAAAGUACUUUCAGCGGGGAGGAAGGUGUUGUGGUUAAUAACCACAGCAAUUGACGUUACCCGCAGAAGAAGCACCGGCUAACUCCGUGCCAGCAGCCGCGGUAAUACGGAGGGUGCAAGCGUUAAUCGGAAUUACUGGGCGUAAAGCGCACGCAGGCGGUCUGUCAAGUCGGAUGUGAAAUCCCCGGGCUCAACCUGGGAACUGCAUUCGAAACUGGCAGGCUUGAGUCUUGUAGAGGGGGGUAGAAUUCCAGGUGUAGCGGUGAAAUGCGUAGAGAUCUGGAGGAAUACCGGUGGCGAAGGCGGCCCCCUGGACAAAGACUGACGCUCAGGUGCGAAAGCGUGGGGAGCAAACAGGAUUAGAUACCCUGGUAGUCCACGCCGUAAACGAUGUCUACUUGGAGGUUGUGCCCUUGAGGCGUGGCUUCCGGAGCUAACGCGUUAAGUAGACCGCCUGGGGAGUACGGCCGCAAGGUUAAAACUCAAAUGAAUUGACGGGGGCCCGCACAAGCGGUGGAGCAUGUGGUUUAAUUCGAUGCAACGCGAAGAACCUUACCUGGUCUUGACAUCCACAGAACUUUCCAGAGAUGGAUUGGUGCCUUCGGGAACUGUGAGACAGGUGCUGCAUGGCUGUCGUCAGCUCGUGUUGUGAAAUGUUGGGUUAAGUCCCGCAACGAGCGCAAC
rnacentral:rRNA from 2 species